GAUGAACGCUAGCGGCAGGCUUAAUACAUGCAAGUCGUGGGGCAGCAGGAAGUAGCAAUACUUUGCUGGCGACCGGCAAACGGGUGCGUAACACGUACGCAACUUUCCCUUUACUGGAAGAUAGCCCACCGAAAGGUGGAUUAAUAUUCCAUAUUAAAAUGAGUUGGCAUCAACUUAUUUUCAAAGCUCAGGCGGUAAAGGAUGGGCGUGCGGCUGAUUAGAUAGUUGGCGGGGUAACGGCCCACCAAGUCGACGAUCAGUAGCUGAUGUGAGAGCAUGAUCAGCCACACGGGCACUGAGAAACGGGCCCGACUCCUACGGGAGGCAGCAGUAAGGAAUAUUGGUCAAUGGACGCAAGUCUGAACCAGCCAUGCCGCGUGAAGGAUGAAGGUCCUCUGGAUUGUAAACUUCUUUUAUAUGGGACGAAACACUUUCUUUCUAGAGAGCUUGACGGUACCAUAGGAAUAAGCACCGGCUAACUCCGUGCCAGCCGCCGCCGUAACAC
rnacentral:rRNA from 1 species